GAUGAACGCUGGCGGCGUGCCUAAUACAUGCAAGUCGAGCGAACAGACCCUGAGCUUGCUGGGCUGACGAUUGCCGCACGGGUGAGUAACACACGUGUAUCCUCCCCCUAUCUGUCGGGUAUCAUCUGGAGAAUGCGGCGAUAAUCCCAGAUAAGCUACUGAACCGUGGUGUUGGUUAGUGAGAGUCGGCUUUUGUGUCUCUUCUAGCUGCUUCUCCGCCUCAUUAGAUAGUUGGGAAGUUAAAAGCGUUCCAAGGCUACCAUGCGUAGCCGACUUGAGAGGGGGAUCGGCCACACGGGAGCUGAGACACGGUCCAGACUCCUACGGGAGGCAGCAGUCGGGAAUCUUCCGCAAUGGGCGAAAGCAUGGCGGAGCAACGCCGAGUGAGUUAUGAAGGUCUUCGGAUCGUGAAACUCUGUUAUUAGGGAAGAACAAAUGUGUAAGUAAAUAUGCACGUCUUGACGGUACCUGAUCAGAAAGCCACGGCUAACUACGUG
rnacentral:rRNA from 1 species